AGGGAUAUAGCUCAGCUGUUAGAGUGUCUGCCUUGCAAGCAGAAGGCCCUAGGUUCAAUCCCUAGCACUAUUA
rnacentral:tRNA from 1 species